AGUGAACGCUGGCGGUAGGCCUAACACAUGCAAGUCGAACGGCAGCACAGUAAGAGCUUGCUCUUACGGGUGGCGAGUGGCGGACGGGUGAGGAAUACAUCGGAAUCUACUUUUUCGUGGGGGAUAACGUAGGGAAACUUACGCUAAUACCGCAUACGACCUACGGGUGAAAGCAGGGGAUCUUCGGACCUUGCGCGAUUGAAUGAGCCGAUGUCGGAUUAGCUAGUUGGCGGGGUAAAGGCCCACCAAGGCGACGAUCCGUAGCUGGUCUGAGAGGAUGAUCAGCCACACUGGAACUGAGACACGGUCCAGACUCCUACGGGAGGCAGCAGUGGGGAAUAUUGGACAAUGGGCGCAAGCCUGAUCCAGCCAUACCGUGUGGGUGAAGAAGGCCUUCGGGUUGUAAAGCCCUUUGUUGGGAAAGAAAAGCAGCAGGUUAAUACCCCGCUGUUCUGACGGUACCCAAAGAAUAAGCACCGGCUAACUUCGUG
rnacentral:rRNA from 1 species